rnacentral:lncRNA from 1 species
AGUGGGCUUAGUCUUUAAGUCUUGUGGCCUCACCUAACAGUUAUUGGCACAUUUCUUAGUUAAGUCAGACCCGUCGUUCACCAGCGAAUACAAAAUCAUCAUUGGGGCCCUCACCUAACAGUUAUUAAGCCCAACCCCAUCUCUACCCUAGGACAUCAAAUGUCAAUAGAGUGGUUAUACCUUUUCGAUGUAAUCAAACC